CCUACGGGGGGCAGCAGUGGGGAAUAUUGCACAAUGGGCGCAAGCCUGAUGCAGCCAUGCCGCGUGUGUGGAGAAGGCCUUCGGGUUGUAAAGCACUUUCAGCGGGGAGGAAGGCGUUAAGGUUAAUAACCUUGGCGAUUGACGUUACCCGCAGAAGAAGCACCGGCUAACUCCGUGCCAGCAGCCGCGGUAAUACGGAGGGUGCAAGCGUUAAUCGGAAUUACUGGGCGUAGAGCGCACGCAGGCGGUCUGUCAAGUCGGAUGUGAAAUCCCCGGGCUCAACCUGGGAACUGCAUUCGAAACUGGCAGGCUAGAGUCUUGGAGAGGGGGGUAGAAUUCCAGGUGUAGCGGUGAAAUGCGUAGAGAUCUGGAGGAAUACCGGUGGCGAAGGCGGCCCCCUGGACAAAGACUGACGCUCAGGUGCGAAAGCGUGGGGAGCAAACAGGAUUAGAUACCCCAGUAGUC
rnacentral:rRNA from 1 species